rnacentral:rRNA from 1 species
AACGAACGCUGGCAGCGUGGAUUAGGCAUGCAAGUCGAACGGGAUCCGGAAGGUAGCAAUACCGGCCGGUGAGAGUGGCGGAAGGGCGAGGAGCACGUGGACAACCUGUCCCGUGGGUGGGGAUACCGUCCCGAAAGGGGCGUUAAUACCGAAUGGGGCCCCGGACCGCAUGGUCCGGCGGCCAAAGGCGGGGACCGCAAGGCCCGCCCCCCCGGGAGGGGUCCGCGCACCAUCAGCUAGACGGCGGGGUAACGGCCCACCGUGGCUUACGGUUAGCUGGUCUGAGAGGACGACCAGCCGCACUGGGACUGAGACACCGCCCAGACCCCUACGGGAGGCUGCAGUCGAGGAUCAUUCGCAAUGGGCGAAAGCCUGACGAUGCGACGCGGCGUGGAGGAUGAAGGCCCUCGGGUCGUAAACUCCUGUCAUGGGGGGCGAGGCGGAGGCGGUUAACGGCCGCCCGAGUUGACGGUACCCCAAGAGGAAGCCACGGCUAACUCUGUG